rnacentral:sRNA from 1 species
UCCUAGCCCCGAUAGUAGCGGUUACCCCACAGUGAAGCCGCGAAGUGAAACGGAGCGGCGAAACGAGGAGUAUGAGCGGAUAGCGGGAAAUAGC